rnacentral:rRNA from 1 species
GCGAUCAUACCAGCACUAAUGCACCGGAUCCCAUCAGAACUCCGAAGUUAAGCGUGCUUGGGCGAGAGCAGUACUAGCCUGGUAAGUCCUCGUGUUGCACCU